rnacentral:misc_RNA from 1 species
GAAAUGCGAUAAGUAACGUGAAUUGCAGAAUUCAGUGAAUCAUCGAAUCUUUGAACGCACCUUGCGCUCCUUGGUAUUCCUUGGAGCAUGCCUGUUUGAGUAUCAUGAAAUCUUCAAAGUAAAUCUUUUGUUAACUCAAUUGGUUUCUACUUUGGUAUUGGAGGUCUUUGCAGCUUCACACCUGCUCCUCUUUGUUCAUUAGCUGGAUCUCAGUGUUAUGCUUGGUUCCACUCGGCGUGAUAAGUUAUCUAUCGCUGAGGACACUGUAGAAGGUGGCCAAGGUAAAUGCAGAUGAACCGCUUCUAAUAGUCCAUUGACUUGGACAAUACUUUUAUGAUCUGAUCUCAAAUCAGGUAGGACUACCCGCUGAACUUAAGC